UUUGGCACAGUAGGUAGUGCGCCAGUCUUGCAAGCUGAAGGUCCCAAGUUCAAUUCUAGGAA
rnacentral:tRNA from 1 species